UACGUAGGGUGCGAGCGUUAAUCGGAAUUACUGGGCGUAAAGCGUGCGCAGGCGGUUCGUUGUGUCGGCGGUGAAAGCCCCGGCUUAACCUGGGAAUGGCCGUUGAAACUGGCGAACUGGAGUGUGGCAGGAGGGGGGUGGAAUUCCGCGUGUAGCAGUGAAAUGCGUAGAGAUGCGGAGGAACACCGAUGGCGAAGGCAGCCCCUGGGCUAACACUGACGCUCAGGCACGAAAGCGUGGGGAGCAAACAGG
rnacentral:rRNA from 1 species